rnacentral:misc_RNA from 1 species
CAAAAUGGGCAGAUUCAAGAUCACUUCUAUAAUUUUGAUAUUUUUAUCUGCUAUAUAAAAAGUAGAUUUCAAUACAAAUUUAUAUAUAUAUAAUGGUUUUAAUGUAUAUAAAUAUCAGUUUUUUUCACCGUUAUGACUAUGCAUAGGAAGUCCUGUGGGAUGAAUUAGCAAUUUUUUUUUUUUGGAAACUUUUCCUGUCAUUUGCCAAAGAUCAGGAAUUCCCCAAGGGAAUGCUUUGUUUUGUGAAGAGAUUGCCUGCCCUGUCCUAUACCUUUUGCCUCUGCCUGUGUUAGUCACUAACUCCUUGUUUUCUCAUUUUAACAUUCCUUAUAGAAACUAAUGAAAGAUCAAUAUGGUUGUGAAGGUUAGCAGAGUCACAACUCCAAAUGCGAAAGCGGACAAAUGCCAGAAGAUGGACAAACUAUGGGAACUUAAUUUGGGGUAGAAAUUGAUUGCAGAUGAACUUGAAAGGCCAUUCAAUUUAUAAAUAAUAUCAAAAGAUGUCCCUUUUUGGGAUUCCAGUGUUAUAAUUUGAAGCUAGACCUCGAAGUCUACAAUUAAUCUCUCUAUAUUGAGGAAAAUCAGUCGGAUAGAGCCUCCAUGAACUCUUCAUCCCUCUCCAUAGCUUGUAAUGUUUCAGGCAGAAGACAAGCCUGAAUAUCCACACUCCCCUCUUCCACUCCUGGAAAAACAGUCAUUUUCCCAUCAUAAUUGUUCCCAGCUCCACCUCGCACUGCAACAGGCCUUCCCCAACCGAAGUUAUUACCAAAAACAUUGAACCGCGGGGAGCUUGCUACAAUCAAGGCAUUGCUUGCUGCAGCACUAAGUUUUGACAAAAUAGGCCUCUUGACCCAAUUCUCCAAGUUCUUUCUCACUUCUCCAUCUGUUUGCUGAGCAACCAUCUUGUUUAUCUGCAAAGCAGCGAAGCCUAGUCCAUUCUUUAACAGCUCACCUGCUGUUGUUUUUGCUGCUCCAAAUAGAACUACAUUUCCAAAGUACUCUUCAGGCAAUGGCGGCUGCAAUCUUUGCCUCAUGUUUACCAGUAUCCGGCAAUAGAUUUCUUGAUCAGCAUCAAGAUUUCUAGUGCGAAUUAUGGAUUGCCAAAGACGACCCAAGAUUGCUUGAAGGGAUGAGAUCUUUGACGUGCCCAUCUCAGCAUUGGCUUUGGCUUUAAGUGCUGCAAUUUUUUCCUUGGAGAAAUGGAACACCUUUUCUAGCAGAGGUGGUGAGAUAAACCUAUUGGAAAUUGUUUCAUUGUAUGAAAAGGGAACCCGAAUUGGGUGAUCAAUCCCAUCAAGAAACCAAUCAUAUCCAAGGACUGGAGGAGGCUGCAAUGUUUCCCCAGAACUUCUAGAUAUUUCAGACCAAGUAUUAACAAAGUUCCAGAAUGAUGUCCCAUCAGCAACCGCAUGGUUAUAAGUGCAACCAAGGAAAAUGCCAUCGACAAGCUCAGUCACUUGCACUGCAAGCAAGGGUUUGGAAAUGCCUUCAAAAUUGUAAACUCCAUUCAUUAAGAAAAAAGAAUGGACAAUACUGGGAACACAAGAAGGCUCAAGGAUGUCAGCUACAGUAACACCAUCUGCAACAGCAUGAACAAACUGGGCACCGGCACAAUUGCAAUCAAUGAAGAAAGAAGUCGUCUUAUAUUCAUUUUCGACGGUGGCAAGGCGGCCGGCGAAAGGAGCAAAGAUGUCAAGUGUGCGGGAGAGACAGAUUUUCAGGUGAUCAAUUACAUUAUUUUUUCGAAGCUGUGCCACCUGUUGUUCAGGUUUGAGAAAGAGAAUGCCCCUGUGAGUAUAAUCAACCACAAGGAAUGGAAGAUCAAAUGGGGUAGAUUCGAUCCUACGAGAUGAGUAACUAGUAUUUGUGGGUUUCACUAUUGUGGCGGAGACGUAUUCAAUUUGCCCCAUAUCCUAGUGAGGGUUUUCUCCACCCUGCUGAAGGAGAAGCUUAAUCAUUAGCCUUUGCUUUAUAGGUAAAGGAGGGACAUGCAUUGUAUUUCUGCAGGUUUUUCUCAUUCGCUUGGCCACCUGCCAACUUUCUAGCUAACAGAUUGGGCUUCACUAUGGAUGGAAUAUCAUGGGAUUUGGCCAGUCAGAAAUUAUUCUCUGUGAAAAUUAUGUAGUUUUCACUAGUUGCAAUUU